ACUGCCUCAUAGACCCCCGGGGACACUCAACGUCGUUGGGCGGGUCAAAACUGAGCAUUUCCUCUAGCAGUGUUCCAGACCUAACCACUCCCUGAGCAUAAUUGCUGCAGGUGUGCAUACCGGUAAUUAACAGGCCUAUUUCAUCACACCUGUACGGGCAGGAAGACACUGGCUGAUUACUCCCCAUGGACACAGGAUUUCGGAUUCAUGCUUUGGAUUCUUCGCCUCGAUUCCAGUUCUUGUCUUGAAAGAUGGCAGCCUUGUGGUCCAAUCAUCCAGAAUGAAGCCCAUUCACUCCUUCUGAGAGUGGGAGCUAUGCUGACCUGAUGUAAUCGUUUCUGCAGAGGAUCAUGCCACCUUUGCUGAAACAGGUGCUGCUGUAUUCGCCCAGCUGAGCGUGGCAGCAGGAGCAUUUGAGGCAGCGCGUGUGCCAGUACUGCUCCAUGGUGAAGAGGAGGAAGCGCUCCACGAUACGACCUCCGCAUCCUGCGCACGACCUGCCUGCUGUCGCCCCGCCGCUGCCCAUCACUGCCACUGAGGGUGCCUCCACCCUGCUGUUCACCAUAACAACUAAAGCAGGACAGGACAAGAGGGGGAAAAAGGAAAGGUAGUCGUGUUAGUUUUAUGUUUUUCAUAUUUGCAUAUGUUUUUUGCGUGGCUUUUUAAAAUAACUAUAGUCACUUAUAGUCCAGAGGUCUGACUGAACACUUUUGGUUCAAAUUAGGGGUGUAAAAGUUCAGGGAAUUAAUUACACAAAAAUCUUGCAUUAAUCAUGUAUAAACACGGAUUAGUCACCCACUUAAUUUUAAGCGCUUAUACUCCUUUACUUAAAUCAGCACUGGUUGUUAUGGUCAGUGAUCGGGUCAAUCGGUGCAAAGAUGAGUGAAAUUUUACUUCAUAAUUCAUCCCGACUGGUCUUUAGAUAAAACUGUUACCAAGUUUCAAACAAAUAAAUGACGUGCAUCUGAGUAAAAAAAAAAAAAAAAGUAAAACAAUUCCUAUAUGUACAGUA